rnacentral:rRNA from 1 species
AGCGAACGCUGGCGGCAGGCCUAACACAUGCAAGUCGAACGAACUCUUCGGAGUUAGUGGCGGACGGGUGAGUAACACGUGGGAACGUGCCUUUUGGUUCGGAAUAACUCAGGGAAACUUGUGCUAAUACCGAAUGUGCCCUUCGGGGGAAAGAUUUAUCGCCAUUAGAGCGGCCCGCGUCUGAUUAGCUAGUUGGUGAGGUAACGGCUCACCAAGGCGACGAUCAGUAGCUGGUCUGAGAGGAUGACCAGCCACACUGGGACUGAGACACGGCCCAGACUCCUACGGGAGGCAGCAGUGGGGAAUCUUGCGCAAUGGGCGAAAGCCUGACGCAGCCAUGCCGCGUGAAUGAUGAAGGUUUUAGGAUUGUAAAAUUCUUUCACCGGGGACGAUAAUGACGGUACCCGGAGAAGAAGCCCCGGCUAACUUCGUG